UACGUAGGACCCAAGCGUUAUCCGGAGUGACUGGGCGUAAAGAGUUGCGUAGGCGGCUCGUUAAGCAGAUAGUGAAAUCACGUGGCUCAACCAUUGUGGCUAUUAUCUGAACUGGCGAGCUCGAGAAUGGUAGGGGUAGCUGGAAUUUCUAGUGUAGGAGUGAAAUCCGUAGAUAUUAGAAGGAACACCAAUAGCGUAGGCAGGCUACUGGACCAUUUCUGACGCUAAGGCACGAAAGCGUGGGGAGCGAACCGG
rnacentral:rRNA from 1 species